rnacentral:rRNA from 1 species
GACAGAGGGUGCAAACGUUGCUCGGAUUUACUGGGCGUAAAGCGCAUGUAGGCGGGCGAUUAAGUCGGGUGUGAAAUCCCUGGGCUCAACCUAGGAACUGCAUCCGAAACUGAUCACCUUGAGUAGUGGAGAGGAAAGCGGAAUUCCGGGUGUAGAGGUGAAAUUCGUAGAUAUCCGGAGGAACACCAGUGGCGAAGGCGGCUUGCCAGAAUGCGCUCGACGGUGAGGGAUGAAAGCUGGGGGAGCAAACCGG